rnacentral:rRNA from 1 species
GUGGGGAAUAUUGGACAAUGGGCGAAAGCCUGAUCCAGCCAUGCCGCGUGUGUGAAGAAGGUCUUCGGAUUGUAAAGCACUUUAAGUUGGGAGGAAGGGCAGUAAGCUAAUACCUUGCUGUUUUGACGUUACCGACAGAAUAAGCACCGACUAACUUCGUGCCAGCAGCCGCGGUAAUACGAAGGGUGCAAGCGUUAAUCGGAAUUACUGGGCGUAAAGCGCGCGUAGGUGGUUUUGUAAGUUGGAGGUGAAAUCCCCGAGCUCAACCUGGGAACUGACUCCAAAACUGCAUGACUAGAGUACGAUAGAGGGUAGUGGAAUUUCCUGUGUAGCGGUGAAAUGCGUAGAUAUAGGAAGGAACACCAGUGGCGAAGGCGACUACCUGGACUGAUACUGACACUGAGGUGCGAAAGCGUGGGGAGCAAACAGGAUUAGAAACCCCGGUAGUCC